rnacentral:rRNA from 1 species
UGCUAAGAGGGGAAAGCCUAUGUCCUAUCAGCUUGUUGGUAAGGUAAUGGCUUACCAAGGCUAUGACGGGUAUCCGGCCUGAGAGGGUGAACGGACACACUGGAACUGAGACACGGUCCAGACUCCUACGGGAGGCAGCAGUAGGGAAUAUUGCUCAAUGGGGGAAACCCUGAAGCAGCAACGCCGCGUGGAGGAUGAAGGUUUUAGGAUUGUAAACUCCUUUUGUUAGAGAAGAUAAUGACGGUAUCUAACGAAUAAGCACCGGCUAACUCCGUGCCAGCAGCCGCGGUAAUACGGAGGGUGCAAGCGUUACUCGGAAUCACUGGGCGUAAAGAGCGCGUAGGCGGGAUAGUCAGUCAGGUGUGAAAUCCUAUGGCUUAACCAUAGAACUGCAUUUGAAACUACUAUUCUAGAGUGUGGGAGAGGUAGGUGGAAUUCUUGGUGUAGGGGUAAAAUCCGUAGAGAUCAAGAGGAAUACUCAUGGAGCACG